AAAAGUCCUUGUGUUAAAAGCUGGUGAGGUCCACCUCCUGACCACGUGAUCCGUCUCAGCAGUCCCAGCGAGCGGGCACUGUAGGGUGACGGGCGGAAAGCAUCAUCCAAAAGGCGCGGUGAAAAGGGAGAAACUCGGCUGCAAGAGGUUACAGAGCCCAGAAAUUAACCAAGAUAGAAAUGAGGGGAAGAAAACAAAAAGAGAAAGUGCAUCACUUUAUCAAAGAUAAAGGACAUCGUCCUCACUCUGCUUUGCGUGGUGAUCUAAACCUACCUGCUGGAAGUCCGACUCGGGAGAUACACGAGCCCAAACUGCGGAGGAUCUCAUGCUGUCGGCUCCGUGGGGGUUGAAAAAAGCUGAGAAAUGACUCCAUCCCAUAUGCCUCUCCAGGACAUUCUCCAAUGAUCUUCACGGUGGUGCUAGUCCUCUCUCUUGAAACCUCUGUAACUAUUAAGGUUGAAGUGCCAUUUAAAGCAAAAAAAAAAAAAAGAAGGCAAAGAAAUGAGCUAUGGGAAGCCAUGGUGAGCUGUUUGUCAAUUGUUCUGUUAGAAGCAGUGAAGCUGGGAUAUCAGUUCAUCUCUUUCUGAAAACCGCAUGUUUUAUGGGAUAAAAUGAAAUGAAAAACACGGACAGCAUACGUUUCUGGCAUUAGAGAACAAUUUUAAAGCUCUUAUUUCAAACAUUGCAUAGAUGAAGAAGCUAUUCUACAUUCUAAGAGCCACAGUAGCCUCUUACUACAGAAGUCAUCCAUGGUAAUAACGUGAUAGAUGUCCACGACUUGCAGUAUAUCAUCCAAGCUCCUCUGAUAUUUCCAUCUCCAAAUUCAUUUCCGCGUCCCAUUUCUCAUCUCCAGCCAAAUAUUUGCUGUUGGCUCCGCAAGAGAACUGUGCUUUCAGCAUAGUUCCAGUGCCCCGUUCCUGGCGAGCAGUUUCAGCACGGUAAGAUUGUACUUGAAUGUCGCUGUCGACGCGUCCUCUGAAAUGGGACGGUGGAGGCUGCCUCACAUUGGAACCUUGGCUGUUCUAGAAAAAUCCAACCAUCGAUCAAACACAACCUAGAGCUUUUCCACAUUGUUCUUUGUAUCCAAGUUUGUAAAGUAUCAUUUGUCUCAUUUCCACGCAGGAAUAUAUUGCAUGGGGCUAACUCCCCCACGUGUCGGAAGACCUGUUGGUUCUGAGCACAGACUCUGCAGUCAGAGGGCAAAGGUGAAGGUCUGGAGAUGCCACUUGUAGCCUGUGCAACCUGGGACAGGCUUCUUAACCUCUCUGUGCCUGUUUGCACAUCUGUCAACAUUGGAAUGAGAAUAGUGCCUGUGUCAUAGGGCUGAGCUGGAAAUUCAAUGAGACAGUUCUGGUAAAAAUCACUUAGGAUAGUGCCUGGUGCAGAGUAGGUCUGCAGGGUUGGUUCAUUACAUUGCUGAAUGUCCUCCUCAUCCUGUGGUUUUUAAUUUUACCUUUUUCCAUGAACAUGCAGCUAUUUCUCUUAACUCAAGAAGAAUUUUAAAUCGUAGAAUCUGGGGCCAAUGUAGCUGGACUUUUGGAAAACAGGUGGGGUUGGGUGACUUUCCUGUGCCCCACGAAUAAUCCCAUCAAAAAAAUGAGUUUCCCCAUACCUCGAAGUGAGGACUUUGACUUUCCCUGUGUGACCACCAGGAUUCUCUCUUUGUCCAUUGUCCUGUGGGAAGCUCCUUUUCGGUUCUAGAUAAUAUACACGUGAAAAGAGUUUGUCUGGAUGUGUCCAUGUGUCACCUAUGUCAAAAUGUCUGCUUGCUUUAUUAACAGUCCUUAUAGGUUAUUAAAUGUAGAAAGUGGUUUAAAGUGACUUUGAUAGUUUGCCCCAGCAUAUUCCAGGUGUAAUAAACGUAGACACGGGAAGGGAGGACGAGUUCAUUGCGCACCAUGUCCAAACCGACGCCCGAAGGUGCAGGCCAGACCUGGAGUUCAUCGUCAGUGCUUGGCCUGCGUCCACAGCGAGGGGAACCGCUGUUAGCAGGCCUGUUUCCUCUGCUCAGAACAUAAUUUGAUUCCUGUCAACUCAAUCUGGCUACAACAGAAUGGAAUUUUUUGUUCUUUAAAGGUUUGUUUUUCACAUUUCAUUUAUAUACCAUCUCCAGUGAGGUCAAAUCCCCCUGUAAAUAUUAUCUAAUUUAUUCUUGUAACAUCUCUAAGAGAGAGGGGGCAUUUGUCUUUAUUAUUAGCAUCUGGUGUUAGGAGAUGCACAUUUACUUUGUUGGGAAUCACCAGGAAUAAAUCUCACGCAGACACUAAUGGAAAAUAUAAUAGGAGAUAAAUAUAGGUGUAUCUGUAAAUGAAGAUAUUUUCCCACCUUUAAAUCUGUUGACUAAAAAGAUAAAAAGUGGAACAACUUAUGGUGAUUG